rnacentral:rRNA from 1 species
CCUACGGGAGGCAGCAGUGGGGAAUCUUGCGCAAUGGGGGCAACCCUGACGCAGCCAUGCCGCGUGAAUGAUGAAGGCCUUAGGGUUGUAAAGUUCUUUUGCCCGUGACGAUGAUGACGGUAACGGGAGAAUAAGCUCCGGCUAACUUCGUGCCAGCAGCCGCGGUAAUACGGAAGGGGGCUAGCGUUGUUCGGAAUUACUGGGCGUAAAGCGCGCGCAGGCGGUUCGAUAAGUUAGGGGUGAAAUCCCUGGGCUCAACCCAGGAAUGGCCUUUAAGACUGUCGAGCUAGAGGACGAGAGAGGUGAGUGGAAUUCCCAGUGUAGAGGUGAAAUUCGUAGAUAUUGGGAAGAACACCGGUGGCGAAGGCGGCUCACUGGCUCGUUUCUGACGCUGAGGCGCGAAAGCGUGGGGAGCAAACAGGAUUAGAUACCCUGGUAGUCCACGCCCUAAACGAUGAGUGCCAGGUGUCGGGAAGCUUAGCUUCUCGGCGCCGCAGCUAACGCCUUAAGCACUCCGCCUGGGGAGUACGGCCGCAAGGUUAAACUCAAAUGAAUUGACGG